AAAGAAAGAAAGAAAGAAAGAAAGAAAGAAAGAAAGAACCCAACUGUCCAUCAAUAGGUCUCUUGCCGCUCAGCCUCUUUGGAAUGUUCGUCUAGACCCCUGCUCAAGAUGGCUGUCUACUGAGUACUUGAAGAAGGUGACCCUGUUCCUGCUAAUCCUUCUCACCAUGAGUUCCAGGCCAUUCCAGGCUACAUCCCCGCAGUCCUGCAUGACAAGGAGAACAUCUAACGACAUCAACCUUCACUACCCCAGUCUGCCCACGUGUUUUCCGAUGGAUCCAUGGUCAGGUAAGUGAUCUUUUAAAAAUGUAAACUAGAUUCUGUCAUCUGUCCCUUACAACCCAUUAAUGCCAAUGCAGUGGGGCGCUCUGGACCAUAUCCCAGGACAGGAAAAGGAUAUUGGUGGAAAAUCCAUGAAAUCUGAAUAAAGUCUGGAGUUAAUAGUAGUGUGCCAGUGUCGGUUUCUUAGUUUUGAUUAAUGGACGGUGGUUACAUAAGACGUUAACAUUAGGGGAAAGUGGGUCAGGAGUACACAGGCACUCUCUGUGGUACCUCUGCAACUUUUCUGUAAAUGUAAAACUAUUCCAAAAUUAAGUUUAUUCAAAAAAAAAAAUGAGUGGCACCGAUUUCCCUGAGGUCAGAGUACCAAAUCUUCAACAUGACCAGCUUUCUCUCUAGCCAGACUAAACUUAUUUAAUUCUUCCAGUGGGAUAAGCCUCUUCCCUGCCUCCAGGUAUUCAGUGUCUGGCCCAUUAAUAAAUGCUUGAUAAAUAUUUGUUGAAAAUUAAUGAACAUUUUUAAAACCAGAGUUGGGUUUUUAGUAGGAAUCAGGACAGCCCAGGCAAUGCUUGAACUGUGUGGUAUGCGACUGCCCUAUGCUGUCCUCUCCUCCCUGUCUCUGCCCUCCAGACUGCUAUCCUUGAAAUUCAGCACCAGCCCCCUCCCAGUUCUGGAGACCAGGUGCCCAUUUAUGUUAAUGGGAAAAAGAAAAGGGGUCUUCUCCCCUCCUGAGAACGAUCUUCUUCCACCCACUCUGCCCCUGUCGCGCCUCCCACAACCCACUUGUAGACAGCAGUGGGUUUCUGGAAACAGUGCUGCCUCCUCUCAGGUGAUCACUACUAGAGUUAUUCCAAUGGCAGGAAUUUCAAGCUGGGUAAGAGGAGCCAUGCCAGGCUGCCAGAUGGUGGGGGGAGAUAAAUGUGGGCGAGCAAGCUUCAGACUAAAGCAAGGGAGAGGGGAUCGGGUGUUGUAAUCACAGUCAAGAAAAGGAGUCAGGUGACCCUCAUUACAUAGUAUAGAGCCCUGUUAUAAUAUCCCUUAUUACUACUCGAACUUGGAUUUAACCUGGGACAAACCCUUUUCUUCUCCUGCUUCUGCCUUCCCACCCUAAGUUAUAGCUCUUUCCCUGCGAAGUCAUCACUCUUAAUGAUAAUACUAAGAAAUAACUGUUACUAAUGGCUUUAGGUCAUUUCAUCUAAGAUGUCACAGCCAGAACAUUUUGCCCAGUUUUUCAGGUGAGCAAACGCAUUCCCAAGGUCACAUGCAGCUGAGAACAGACAGAUCUGGGAUUCAAACUCAGGUCUUUCUGGCUCAGAAACUCUUGUUCUGUUCUCCUGAGGAUGACCUAGGGGGGGAUUUGCUCUAAACCCUACAUCUUUUUUUUUUUUAAUUAAUUUUUUUUUUUUUACAUUUAUUUUUGAGAAACAGAGUGAGACAAAGCGUGAGCGGGGGAGGGGCAGAGAGAGAAGGAGAGACAGGAUCUGAAGCAGGCUCCAGGCUAAGCUGUCAGCACAGAGCCUGAUGCGGAGCUCGAACCCACAAACUGUGAGAUCAUGACCUGAGCCAAAGUUAGACGCUCAACCGACUGAGCCACCCAGGCACCCAUAAACCCUACGUCUUUUAAUGAAAAACAUAAAUGCAACAGGUCUUAGGGACAGUGAAGGCAGAGCAUUAGAAUCCCAAGCAGGCCCUCCAGAGUGGACACUGGAAGAGGGGUGGGCAACAGGGUGGGGACUCAGUGGGACGUGUCUGUUUCCUCCCCAUGUUUUGGUGACGACAGAAACUGUG